rnacentral:rRNA from 1 species
UACAGAGGAUGCAAGCGUUAUCCGGAAUGAUUGGGCGUAAAGCGUCUGUAGGUGGCUUUUUAAGUCCACCGUCAAAUCCCAGGGCUCAACUCUGGACAGGCGGUGGAAACUACCAAGCUGGAGUACGGUAGGGGCAGGAGGGAAUUUCCGGUGGAGCGGUGAAAUGCGCAGAGAUCGGAAAGAACACCAACGGCGAAAGCACUCUGCUGGGCCGACACUGACACUGAGAGACGAAAGCUAGGGGAGCGAAUGGG